rnacentral:rRNA from 1 species
UGCCAGCCGCCGCGGUAAUACGGAGGGUGCAAGCGUUAUCCGGAUUCACUGGGUUUAAAGGGUGCGUAGGCGGGCUGUUAAGUCAGUGGUGAAAUCUUUGGGCUUAACCCGAAAACUGCCAUUGAUACUAUCAGUCUUGAAUAUUGUGGAGGUCUGCGGAAUAUGUCAUGUAGCGGUGAAACGCUUAGAUAUGACAUAGAACACCAAUUGCGAAGGCAGCAGGCUACGCAUAUAUUGACGCUGAGGCACGAAAGCGUGGGGAUCAAACAGGAUUAGAUA